GAUGAACGCUGGCGGCGUGCCUAAUACAUGCAAGUCGAGCGAACAGACGAGGAGCUUGCUCCUCUGACGUUAGCGGCGGACGGGUGAGUAACACGUGGAUAACCUACCUAUAAGACUGGGAUAACUUCGGGAAACCGGAGCUAAUACCGGAUAAUAUAUUGAACCGCAUGGUUCAAUAGUGAAAGACGGUUUUGCUGUCACUUAUAGAUGGAUCCGCGCCGCAUUAGCUAGUUGGUAAGGUAACGGCUUACCAAGGCAACGAUGCGUAGCCGACCUGAGAGGGUGAUCGGCCACACUGGAACUGAGACACGGUCCAGAGUCCUACGGGAGGCAGCAGUAGGGAAUCUUACGCAAUGGGCGAAAGCUAGACGGAGCAACGCCGCGUGAGUGAUGAAGGUCUUCGGAUCGUAAAACUCUGUUAUUAGGGAAGAACAAAUGUGUAAGUAACUAUGCACGUCUUGACGGUACCUAAUCAGAAAGCCACGGCUAACUACGUG
rnacentral:rRNA from 1 species